rnacentral:rRNA from 1 species
CUGAGGAGCAUGCCGCGUGAGUGAUGAAGGUUUUCGGAUCGUAAAGCUCUGUUGCCAGGGAAGAACGCUUGGGAGAGUAACUGCUCUCAAGGUGACGGUACCUGAGAAGAAAGCCCCGGCUAACUACGUGCCAGCAGCCGCGGUAAUACGUAGGGGGCAAGCGUUGUCCGGAAUUAUUGGGCGUAAAGCGCGCGCAGGCGGUCAUUUAAGUCUGGUGUUUAAUCCCGGGGCUCAACCCCGGGUCGCACUGGAAACUGGAUGACUUGAGUACAGAAGAGGAGAGUGGAAUUCCACGUGUAGCGGUGAAAUGCGUAGAUAUGUGGAGGAACACCAGUGGCGAAGGCGACUCUCUGGGCUGUAACUGACGCUGAGGCGCGAAAGCGUGGGGAGCAAACAGGAUUAGAUACCCUGGUAGUCCACGCCGUAAACGAUGAGUGCUAGGUGUUAGGGGUUUCGAUACCCUUGGUGCCGAAGUUAACACAUUAAGCACUCCGCCUGGGGAGUACGGUCGCAAGACUGAAACUCAG